rnacentral:rRNA from 1 species
GUCCACGCCCUAAACGAUGUCAACUAGGUGUUGGGAGGGUAAACCUUUUAGUACCGGAGCUAACGCGUGAAGUUGACCGCCUGGGGAGUACGGCCGCAAGGUUAAACUACAAAGGAAUUGACGGGGACCCGGCACAAGCGGUGGAUGAUGUGGAUUAAAUUCGAUGCAACGCGAAAAACCUUAACCUACCCUUGACAUGUCCAGAAGCUCUUAGAGAUUUGAGUGUGCCCGAAAGGGAGCUGGAACACAGGUGCUGCAUGGCUGUCGU